UACGUAGGCAGCGAGCGUUGUUCGGAGUUACUGGGCGUAAAGGGUGUGUAGGCGGUUGUUUAAGUUUGGUGUGAAAUCUCCCGGCUCAACUGGGAGGGUGCGCCGAAUACUGAAUGACUUGGAGUGCGGGAGAGGUGAGUGGAAUUCCUGGUGUAGCGGUGAAAUGCGUAGAUAUCAGGAGGAACACCGGUGGUGUGGACGGCUCACUGGACCGUAACUGACGCUGAGACACGAAAGCGUGGGUAGCAAACAGG
rnacentral:rRNA from 1 species